rnacentral:rRNA from 1 species
GCUCAUCACAUCCUGGGGCUGAAGUAGGUCCCAAGGGUAUGGCUGUUCGCCAUUUAAAGUGGUACGCGAGCUGGGUUUAGAACGUCGUGAGACAGUUCGGUCCCUAUCUGCCGUGGGCGCUGGAGAACUGAGGGGGGCUGCUCCUAGUACGAGAGGACCGGAGUGGACGCAUCACUGGUGUUCGGGUUGUCAUGCCAAUGGCACUGCCCGGUAGCUAAAUGCGGAAGAGAUAAGUGCUGAAAGCAUCUAAGCACGAAACUUGCCCCGAGAUGAGUUCUCCCUGAGACUUUAGGUCUCCUGAAGGAACGUUGAAGACGACGACGUUGAUAGGCCGGGUGUGUAAGCGCAGCGAUGCGUUGAGCUAACCGGUACUAAUGAACCGUGAGGCUUAACCUUACAACGCCGAAG